rnacentral:rRNA from 1 species
UACGUAGGGUGCGAGCGUUGCCCGGAUUUAUUGGGCGUAAAGGGCGCGUAGGCGGCCACGCACGUCCGUUGUGAAAUCGCCCGGCUCAACUGGGCGGGGUCGGCGGAUACGGCGUGGCUGGAGCAAGCUAGGGGGCAAUGGAAUUCCCGGUGUAGCGGUGAAAUGCGCAGAUAUCAGGAGGAACACCGGUGGCGAAGGCGGGUCUCUGGGCCGAUACUGACGCUGAGGAGCGAAAGCGUGGGGAGCAAACAGG